GUUUCUUGAAGAAGGCAUGGGAGGAACAGU
rnacentral:piRNA from 1 species